GACGUAGGGGGCCAGCGUUGCUCGGAAUUACUUGGCGUAAAGGGUUCGUAGGCGGUGUGGCAAGUCGGGAGUGAAAUCUCUGGGCUUAACUCAGAGGCUGCUUCCGAAACUGCCGUGCUAGAGUGCGGGAGAGGCGAGUGGAAUUGCAGGUGUAGCGGUGAAAUGCGUAGAUAUCUGCAGGAACACCCGUGGCGAAGGCGGCUCGCUGGACCGCAACUGACGCUGAGGAACGAAAGCUAGGGGAGCAAACAGG
rnacentral:rRNA from 1 species